rnacentral:tRNA from 1 species
GGGUUGUUAGCUCAGUUGGUAGAGCAGUUGACUUUUAAUCAAUUGGUCGAAGGUUCAAAUCCUUCACAACCC